UUCAUGUCAUUAUGGGAUGCGAGUAGAAUUUUAAGGGGAAAAAAUAAAUUUACUCCAUUUUGGAUUAGGCUGCAACAUAACAAAAUGUAGAAAAAGUGAAGCGCUGUGAAUGCUUUCUGGACGCACCGUAAGCUAACACUUGGGCUUGAUUUCAGUGAUAUCAAUAAGUUACAUUAUUUUAUAUAGAGUAAUUGUAUUAAACAGCACUAUGUUGGCUACCGUCACUGAGAAGUGUGCAUGUUGCAUUUGUAUAGUUGGUGCUGGAAGCACCUCUGCUGUUGUUGAAGUUUUGAAGAUGAGUGAUGACUGGUACUGCCGUUUGUGCACGUGUGUGGACUGAACGUUGCAGAUGACAAAAUGCUCCUGAGUGUUGCAAAGCUGACUCCCCAGUGUCAUCUUUGAGAAACACCACUUUUGGCAGUAUCCCUCCCUCCCCUUUGGUCAAUGCACUUUUUUGUUUUAUGUUCAGCUUAGCGCAGAAAGAGUUUUAUGUAUUAAUGGCAUCUAUUUCAGUU